rnacentral:rRNA from 1 species
AGAGUUGAUCCUGGCUCAGGACGAACGCUGGCGGCAUGCCUAACACAUGCAAGUCGAACGGAACUUUGAGAAUGAAGUUUUCGGAUGGAUUUUUCAAAGUUUAGUGGCGGACGGGUGAGUAACGCGUGAGCAACCUGCCUUUCAGAGGGGGACAACAGUUGGAAACGACUGCUAAUACCGCAUAAUGUAUCGAGAUCGCAUGACCUUGAUACCAAAGAUUUUAUCGCUGAAAGAUGGGCUCGCGUACGAUUAGAUAGUUGGUGAGGUAACGGCUCACCAAGUCGACGAUCGUUAGCCGGACUGAGAGGUUGAACGGCCACAUUGGGACUGAGACACGGCCCAGACUCCUACGGGAGGCAGCAGUGAGGAAUAUUGGGCAAUGGGCGCAAGCCUGACCCAGCAAUGCCGCGUGAAGGAAGACGGUUUUCGGAUUGUAAACUUCUUUUAAGAGGGACGAUAAUGACGGUACCUCUUGAAUAAGCCACGGCUAACUACGUGCCAGCAGCCGCGGU